rnacentral:rRNA from 1 species
GGGUUGUGAGGUUAAGCGACUAAGCGUACACGGUGGAUGCCUAGGCAGUCAGAGGCGAUGAAGGGCGUGCUAAUCUGCGAUAAGCGUCGGUAAGCUGAUAUGAAGCGCUAUACCCGACGAUACCCGAAUGGGGAAACCCAGUGUGUUUCGACACACUAUCAUGACAUGAAUACAUAGUGUCAUGAGGCGAACCGGGGGAACUGAAACAUCUCAGUACCCCGAGGAAAAGAAAUCAACCGAGAUUCCCCCAGUAGCGGCGAGCGAACGGGGAGGAGCCCAGAACCUGAAUCAGUUUGUGUGUUAGUGGAAGCGUCUGGAAAGUCGCACAGUAAAGGGUGAUAGUCCCGUACACAAAAAUGCACAAGUUGUGAGUUCGAUGAGUAGGGCGGGACACGUGACAUCCUGUCUGAAUAUGGGGGGACCAUCCUCCAAGGCUAAAUACUCCUGACUGACCGAUAGUGAACCAGUACCGUGAGGGAAAGGCGAAAAGAACCCCGGCGAGGGGAGUGAAAUAGAACCUGAAACCGUGUACGUACAAGCAGUGGGAGCCUACUUGUUAGGUGACUGCGUACCUUUUGUAUAAUGGGUCAGCGACUUAUAUUCUGUAGCAAGGUUAACCGUAUAGGGGAGCCGCAGGGAAACCGAGUCUUAACUGGGCGUUAAGUUGCAGGGUAUAGACCCGAAACCCGGUGAUCUAGCCAUGGGCAGGUUGAAGGUUGGGUAACACUAACUGGAGGACCGAACCGACUAAUGUUGAAAAAUUAGCGGAUGACUUGUGGCUGGGGGUGAAAGGCCAAUCAAACCGGGAGAUAGCUGGUUCUCCCCGAAAGCUAUUUAGGUAGCGCCUCGUGAAUUCAUCUUCGGGGGUAGAGCACUGUUUCGGCUAGGGGGUCAUCCCGACUUACCAACCCGAUGCAAACUACGAAUACCGAAGAAUGUUAUCACGGGAGACACACGGCGGGUGCUAACGUUCGUCGUGAAGAGGGAAACAACCCAGACCGCCAGCUAAGGUCCCAAAGUCAUGGUUAAGUGGGAAACGAUGUGGGAAGGCAUAGACAGCCAGGAUGUUGGCUUAGAAGCAGCCAUCAUUUAAAGAAAGCGUAAUAGCUCACUGGUCGAGUCGGCCUGCGCGGAAGAUGUAACGGGGCUAAACCAUGCACCGAAGCUGCGGCAGCGACACUUAGGUGUUGUUGGGUAGGGGAGCGUUCUGUAAGCCUGCGAAGGUGGCCUGUGAGGGCUGCUGGAGGUAUCAGAAGUGCGAAUGCUGACAUAAGUAACGAUAAUGCGGGUGAAAAACCCGCACGCCGGAAGACCAAGGGUUCCUGUCCAACGUUAAUCGGGGCAGGGUGAGUCGACCCCUAAGGCGAGGCUGAAAAGCGUAGUCGAUGGGAAACAGGUUAAUAUUCCUGUACUCGGUGUUACUGCGAAGGGGGGACGGAGAAAGCUAGGUUAUCCGGGCGACGGUUGUCCCGGUUUAAGCGUGAAGGUGGGUGACUUUGGUAAAUCCGGGUCAUCGUUAACACUGAGGCGUGAUGACGAGUCACUACGGUGAUGAAGUAACCGAUGCUACGCUUCCAGGAAAAGCCUCUAAGCUCCAGGUAACAUCAAAUCGUACCCCAAACCGACACAGGUGGUCAGGUAGAGAAUACUCAGGCGCUUGAGAGAACUCGGGUGAAGGAACUAGGCAAAAUGGUGCCGUAACUUCGGGAGAAGGCACGCUGAUGGUAGGUGAAGUGACUUGCUCAUGGAGCUGAAAUCAGUCGAAGAUACCAGCUGGCUGCAACUGUUUAAUAAAAACACAGCACUGUGCAAACACGAAAGUGGACGUAUACGGUGUGACGCCUGCCCGGUGCCGGAAGGUUAAUUGAUGGGGUCAGCCGCAAGGCGAAGCUCUUGAUCGAAGCCCCGGUAAACGGCGGCCGUAACUAUAACGGUCCUAAGGUAGCGAAAUUCCUUGUCGGGUAAGUUCCGACCUGCACGAAUGGCGUAAUGAUGGCCAGGCUGUCUCCACCCGAGACUCAGUGAAAUUGAACUCGCUGUGAAGAUGCAGUGUACCCGCGGCAAGACGGAAAGACCCCGUGAACCUUUACUAUAGCUUGACACUGAACCUUGAGCCUUGAUGUGUAGGAUAGGUGGGAGGCUUUGAAGCGUGGACGCCAGUCUGCGUGGAGCCAACCUUGAAAUACCACCCUUUAAUGUUUGAUGUUCUAACGUGGACCCGUGAUCCGGGUUGCGGACAGUGUCUGGUGGGUAGUUUGACUGGGGCGGUCUCCUCCCAAAGCGUAACGGAGGAGCACGAAGGUUAGCUAAUCCUGGUCGGACAUCAGGAGGUUAGUGCAAAGGCAUAAGCUAGCUUGACUGCGAGAGUGACAGCUCGAGCAGGUGCGAAAGCAGGUCUUAGUGAUCCGGUGGUUCUGAAUGGAAGGGCCAUCGCUCAACGGAUAAAAGGUACUCCGGGGAUAACAGGCUGAUACCGCCCAAGAGUUCAUAUCGACGGCGGUGUUUGGCACCUCGAUGUCGGCUCAUCACAUCCUGGGGCUGAAGUAGGUCCCAAGGGUAUGGCUGUUCGCCAUUUAAAGUGGUACGCGAGCUGGGUUUAGAACGUCGUGAGACAGUUCGGUCCCUAUCUGCCGUGGGCGUUGGAAGAUUGAGAGGGGUUGCUCCUAGUACGAGAGGACCGGAGUGAACGCACCACUGGUGUACGGGUUGUGAUGCCAAUUGCAUUGCCCGGUAGCUAAGUGCGGAAGAGAUAACCGCUGAAAGCAUCUAAGCGGGAAACUUGCCUCGAGAUGAGUCUUCCCUGGACACUUGAUGUCCCUGAAGGGCCGUUGAAGACGACGACGUAGAUAGGCUGGGUGUGUAAGCGUAGCGAUACGUUGAGCUAACCAGUACUAAUGACCCGAGAGGCUUAACCUUACAACACCGAAGGUGUUU